rnacentral:lncRNA from 1 species
CCAUAGGUCCAAGAGCACAAGGUAAUGUGAAGCAUCAUGGAUCUUCUAACUUCUUUGGAACAACAAGCCUCUGGAUGAUGGCACUGCACUCAUGAGUGAGAAUCAUCAUGCCCUCCAUCUCCUUUUUCUUUGCAGCUACAACAUCUUUCAGGAACUUGCUAUAUUGAGGAAUCAGCAUGAAAGCAUCAAUGAUGGGCAUUGUGACUUGAACUUCACUCAUUUGCUUCUCAAAUAGAGCUUUGUACUUCUCUAGCUGCUGCCUCUUGAAUCUACCAGGGAAUGGUAGUUUGGAUUCAUAGGGAGGAGGAACAAAAGAAUUGUCACUUGCUGGAGCAACAACUUCACCAUCUUUCACUGUUUUCUUCUC